GAAGGUGUGUCGUGAGGCAUGCUGGAGGUAUCAGAAGUGCGAAUGCUGACAUAAGUAACGAUAAAGCGGGUGAAAAGCCCGCUCGCCGGAAGACCAAGGGUUCCUGUCCAACGUUAAUCGGGGCAGGGUGAGUCGACCCCUAAGGCGAGGCCGAAAGGCGUAGUCGAUGGGAAACGGGUUAAUAUUCCCGUACUUGGUGUUACUGCGAAGGGGGGACGGAGAAGGCUAUGUUGGCCGGGCGACGGUUGUCCCGGUUUAAGCGUGUAGGUGUGUGUUCCAGGUAAAUCCGGUUCACUUUAACACUGAGGCGUGACGACGAGGCACUACGGUGCUGAAGCAACAAAUGCCCUGCUUCCAGGAAAAGCCUCUAAGCAUCAGGUAACAUCAAAUCGUACCCCAAACCGACACAGGUGGUCAGGUAGAGAAUACCAAGGCGCUUGAGAGAACUCGGGUGAAGGAACUAGGCAAAAUGGUGCCGUAACUUCGGGAGAAGGCACGCUGACACGUAGGUGAAGUGAUUUACUCAUGGAGCUGAAGUCAGUCGAAGAUACCAGCUGGCUGCAACUGUUUAUUAAAAACACAGCACUGUGCAAACACGAAAGUGGACGUAUACGGUGUGACGCCUGCCCGGUGCCGGAAGGUUAAUUGAUGGGGUCAGCGCAAGCGAAGCUCCUGAUCGAAGCCCCGGUAAACGGCGGCCGUAACUAUAACGGUCCUAAGGUAGCGAAAUUCCUUGUCGGGUAAGUUCCGACCUGCACGAAUGGCGUAAUGAUGGCCAGGCUGUCUCCACCCGAGACUCAGUGAAAUUGAACUCGCUGUGAAGAUGCAGUGUACCCGCGGCAAGACGGAAAGACCCCGUGAACCUUUACUAUAGCUUGACACUGAACAUUGAGCCUUGAUGUGUAGGAUAGGUGGGAGGCUUUGAAGUGUGGACGCCAGUCUGCAUGGAGCCGACCUUGAAAUACCACCCUUUAAUGUUUGAUGUUCUAACGUGGACCCGUUACCCGGGUUGCGGACAGUGUCUGGUGGGUAGUUUGACUGGGGCGGUCUCCUCCUAAAGAGUAACGGAGGAGCACGAAGGUUGGCUAAUCCUGGUCGGACAUCAGGAGGUUAGUGCAAUGGCAUAAGCCAGCUUGACUGCGAGCGUGACGGCGCGAGCAGGUGCGAAAGCAGGUCAUAGUGAUCCGGUGGUUCUGAAUGGAAGGGCCAUCGCUCAACGGAUAAAAGGUACUCCGGGGAUAACAGGCUGAUACCGCCCAAGAGUUCAUAUCGACGGCGGUGUUUGGCACCUCGAUGUCGGCUCAUCACAUCCUGGGGCUGAAGUAGGUCCCAAGGGUAUGGCUGUUCGCCAUUUAAAGUGGUACGCGAGCUGGGUUUAGAACGUCGUGAGACAGUUCGGUCCCUAUCUGCCGUGGGCGCUGGAGAACUGAGGGGGGCUGCUCCUAGUACGAGAGGACCGGAGUGGACGCAUCACUGGUGUUCGGGUUGUCAUGCCAAUGGCACUGCCCGGUAGCUAAAUGCGGAAGAGAUAAGUGCUGAAAGCAUCUAAGCACGAAACUUGCCCCGAGA
rnacentral:rRNA from 1 species